rnacentral:rRNA from 1 species
GGAUCAAUAUGUCGGUCGUGCCUCGGUACGUACUGGUAUCAUUGGUUUCUCCCUUCUGAUGAACCAUGAUGUCAUUAAUUUGGUGUCUUGGGGAAUCAGGACUGUUACUUUGAAAAAAUUAGAGUGUUUAAAGCAGGCUCGCGCUUGAAUACAUUAGCAUGGAAUAAUGAAAUAAGACGUUUGACCCUAUUUUGUUGGUUUCUAGGAUCGAUGUAAUGAUUAAUAGGGAUAGUUG